AACAAAGGCCUCAGAACCGCAGAAGAGAAAGAAGGCAGCCUGAAGACAGAAGGCGACCCUCUGAAGACAGGUCUAGAGACUUAACGUAUGAUGUUCCUGGAGUCCUGUUGCCUGUAAGGGAAGCACAAACCCUGAGUUGCACUGUGUCCUCUGACCUGUCUGAUCCCAGGUACCUCUUCAGUAGAAAAAUUCAAUAAGGUUUCUGACACUUUCUACCUAUGGGCCAGUUACAUACAGAAGAGAAAACUGAAACUGAAAACUGGUUUGUCAUUUUUACAGAAAGUCACUGCAAAGAAGGAGAAUUCCAAGUGCAAAUGACUUGAGGUGUUGAAUUGAGAACCAGGCAGAUCCACCACCUACAGUAAAGAUGACCCUAAAGUGAAUUGGUUGAAGAAAUUAGAUCCCAAAGAUUCUUGGUGAAUUUUCAAGUCUUCAUCAGUAUAUCCAUAUUAAAAGGAGAUGACAGAAGCCAAAAUAAAAGAAUUAUGGGCUGACGGGACAACUGGAUUAAAAUAAGCAUCAGUUUCGUUAAAAAGGGCUAACUUGAAGAUAAAUCUUUUGACUCCAGCUCUUUAGAGGAUCUAAAGUGACCCUGAUGGACAGUGGAAAAAAUCACAACAUGGAAUCCCUUGGAUAAAAAUCUAUUGACUUUGAAUAAUUUUGCCUAAUGUUACAUAAUACACAAUUAAAAAAAAAAAAAACCUUGGCCAGGCAUGGUGGCUCACACCUGUAAUCCCAGCACUUUGGGAGGCCGAGGUGGGCAGAUCACAAAGUCAAGAGAUCGAGACCAUCCUGGCCAAUAUGGUGAAACCCUGUCUGUACUAAAAAUAACUUACCUGGGCAUGGUGGCACUCGCCUGUAGUCCCAGCUACUCGGGAGGCUGAGGCAGGAGAGUGGCGUGAACCCAGGAGGCGGAGGUUGCAGUGAGCCGAGAUUGCACCACUGCACUCCAGCCUGGGCGAAAAGAGUGAGACUCCGUCUAAAAAAAAAAGAUUAUAGAUAGGCCAAAGCCAAAACCAGGGGUGCAAAAGGGAAAUAAAUCAGGAGCCAAGUACCAAGUGUCAGGAUCAGGAUCCAGAAAGGCAGGAUACAGCAGAGACACUAAAACCAGGACCAUGGUAAAAGUGAGACACUGGAGAAAGAAACCAAAGAGAACACUGUAACCGGGAGCCUAGCUAAUCUUGCAGUUGGAUUGAGAGGCAAACUGGGUGAUUUUUCCACUGGCUGACCUUUUAGAAGUUCCAGACAUGUUCUCCCAAAGGCACUAAGUUCUGGGUCCCAGAGAAGUGGGCUCAUGGCACGGCUGAUCUCAGAGUUGGUGCUUGUGCAGCUCCUGACACAAGGUGCCCCUCUAAAUGAAGAGCCAAGGAGCACACGUUUAUCGAAGGUCUACUUUGCGCCCCUUGUGGCAACACUCAUACUUGGAGGCAGAGGCUACCAUCAGAAUAUAAAUUUUAUCCUCAGGAAGAUGAGAAGACAACUGGCUUAGAAACUAGCUUAGAACAUUUCCAAGUUUGACACAGGGCCAGGGGCUGUCAAGCCUCAACCACAAUGCAAUCAACCACCAGCUCUAUUCCACAGGCGCAUGUCCAGGUCGGCUAAUAAAUGGAAAAGCCAGGAUUAAGAUUCAAGUUUCGUCCGGUCACGGUGGCUCACUCCUGUAAUCCCAGCACCUUGGGAGGCCAAGGCGGGCAGAUCAUGAGGUCAAGAAAUCGAGAUCAUCCUGGCCAACAUGGUGAAACCCCGUCUCUACUAAAAAUAUAAAAAUUAGCUGGGCACAGUGGUGCACGCCUGUAAUCCCAGCUACUUGGGAGGCAGAAGCAGGAGAAUCGCUUGAACCUGGGAGGUGGAGGUUGCAGUGAGCCGAGAUCUCGCCACUGCACUUCAGUCUGGGUGACAGAAUGAGACUCCGUCUCAAAAAAAAAAAAAAAAAAGAUUCAAGUUUCUUAGCCUGGGCAACAACGACGACAAAAAAUUCGGAGCUUAUGGUGGUGCAGGCCUGUAGUCCUAGCUACUCAGCAGGCUGUGGCAGGGGGUGUCACUUGGAGGCUGCAGUGAGCUAUGAUUGCACCACUGCACUCCAGCCUGGGCCACAGAGCAAGAUUCCGUUUCAGAAAAAAAAUAAAUAAAUUUGGGCCGGUCUCGGUGGCUCACGCCUGUAAUCCCAGCACUUUGGGAGACUGAGGCCGGUGGAUCACCUGAGAUCGGGAGUUCGAGGCCAGUCUGACCAACAUGGAGAAAUCCCCGUCUCUACUAAAAAUACAAAAUUAGCUAGGUGUGGUGGCGUAUGCCUGUAGUCCCAGCUACUCAAGAGGCUGAGGCUUGAACCCGGGAGGCAGAGGUUGCGGUGAGCCAAAAUCGCGCCAUUGCACUCCAGCCUGGGCAACAAGAGCGAAACUCCGUCUCAAAAAAAUAAAAUAAAUAAAAUAAAUAAAUUUUAUCAAUCAUGGUGGUGUUUUUUGUUGUUGUUGUUGCUGUUUGACAGGGUC
rnacentral:lncRNA from 10 species